GGACAGGGCUCUGGGUCUGAUUGUCUGGGUACAGGGCUAUGGGUCUGAUUGUCUAGGUAUAGGGCUCUGGGUCUGAUUGUCUGGGUACAGGGCUAUGGGUCUGAUUGUCUAGGUACAGGGCUCUGGGUAUAGGGCUCUAGGUCUGAUUGUCUGGGUACAGGGCUAUGAGUCUGAUUGUCUAGGUACAGGGGUCUGGGUGUCUGGGUAUAGGGCUCUAGGUCUGAUUGUCUGGGUACAGGGCUCUGGGUGUCUGGGUACAGGGCUCUGGGUUUGAUUGUCUGGGUACAGGGCUCUGGGUCUGAUUGUCUGGGUACAGGGCUCUGGGUGUCUGGGUAGAGAGCUCUGGGGCUGGGUAUCUGGGUAUAGGGCUCUGGGUCUGGGUGUCUGGAUAUAGGGCUCUGGGUCUGGGUAUAGGGCUCUAGGUCUGGGUAUAGGGCUCUGGGUCUGAGUAGAUGUAUCUGGAUAUAGGGCUCUCGGUUUGGGUUUCUGGGUCUGGGUAGAGGGCUCUGGGCCUGGGUUUUGGGUGAGUCUGGCUGGUCUCUGGGUCUCAGGCUGGUUGUCCUCCUGCUGGUCCUCUGUGCUGCUCUCGGACUCAGUGUUCCUGUGUGUCUGCUGGUACCAGUGUAACAGAGUUUAAAAUAUCUUUCCUCAUGCUAUCAAAUUGUCAGUCAUUUUAUGACCAGACCAGUCCUCUACUCAGCGAUGUUGUGUUUUUUUUAUUUUACUAGGCAAGUCAGUUAAGAACAAAUUCUAUUUUCAAUGACGGCCUAGGAACAAUGGGUUAACUGCCUGUUCAGAUUUGUACUUUGUCAGCUCGGGGGUUUGAACUUGCAACCUUCCGGUUACUAGUCCAAUUCUCUAACCACUAGGCUACCCUGCCGCCCUACCAGUUUCUGCUGGUACCAGUCUCUACUCUGUAAUGUUGUGUUUCUGCUGGUAUCAGUCUCUACUCUGUCAUGUUGUGUUUCUGCUGGUAUCAGUCUCUACUCUGUCAUGUUGUGUUUCUGCUGGUACCAAUCCUCUACUCUGUCAUGUUGUGUUUCUGCUGGUAUCAGUCUCUACUCUGUCAUGUUGUGUUUCUGUUGGUACCAGUCUCUACUCUGUCAUGUUGUGUUUCUGCUGGUAUCAGUCUCUACUCUGUCAUGUUGUGUUUCUGCUGGUAUCAGUCUCUACUCUGUCAUGUUGUGUUUCUGCUGGUAUCAGUCUCUACUCUGUCAUGUGUUUCUCCUGGUUGCUCCAGCUCCCUCUUCUUCAUCAUGGCGAUGUGCAGCUGUUGUUUGAUGAUGGUGAUGUGUGUCUCCAGCUCUGACAGCUCCUGCAGCAUGGGGUUGGUCCUGGCCUGCAGACCCACCUGGUCUGUCCUCCCGUUAGAUGUUGCCUGCCGGGGGACCAGGCUCUUCACCUGUGGAGGAAGAGGACAAAAUAAGAUACAUUUGGACACCCAAUCCCCCCAAUUAAAAUAUAAAUUACAGUGCUUCAGA
rnacentral:lncRNA from 1 species